GACGAACGCUGGCGGCGUGCCUAAUACAUGCAAGUAGGACGCAGUUGCGAACGGGUGAGUAACGCGUAGGUAACUGCCUAUUAGAGGGGGAUAACUAUUGGAAACGAUAGCUAAUACCGCAUACUAGUAGAUGGACCUGCGUUGUAUUAGCUAGUAGGUAGGGUAAUGGCCUACCUAGGCGACGAUACAUAGCCGACCUGAGGUGGGGAUCGGGCACAAUGGGACUGAGACACGGCCCAGAAUCCUACGGGGGGCAGCAGUAGGGAAUCUUCGGCAAUUGGGGGAACCCUGACCGAGCAACGCCGCGGGAGUGAAGAAGGUUUUCGGAGCGUAAAGCUCUGUUGUUAAGGAAGCGGUACUUAACCAGAAAGGGACGGCUAACUACGUGCCAGCAGCCGCGGUAAUUC
rnacentral:rRNA from 1 species